AGAGUUUGAUCCUGGCUCAGGAUGAACGCUGGCGGUGUGUCUUAAGCAUGCAAAUCGAGCGAUCCCACCAUUUUGGUUUUAAGGAAAUUUUGAAACUAAAAUGGUGGGAUAGCGGUGGACGGGUGAGUAACGCGUAGGAAUCUACCCCUUGGUGGGGGAUAGUCCGCCGAAAGGUGGUUUAAUCCCGCAUAAGAUCUUCGGAUGAAAGGCCUUUACCGGUCGCCGAGGGAGGAGCCUGCGUGCUAUCAGCUUGUUGGUGAGGUAAUGGCUCACCAAGGCUAUGACGGCUAGGGGGCGUGAGAGCGUGGCCCCCCACAAGGUCACUGAGACACGGGGCCUACACCUACGGGUGGCAGCAACUAAGAAUAUUGCGCAAUGGGCGAAAGCCUGACGCAGCGGCACCGCGUGUGGGAAGAAGCAUUUUACGUGCGUAAACCACUGUGGCGAGGGAAGAAAAUUUGACAGUACCUCGCUAGAAAGCACCUGCUAACUACGUGCCAGAAGCCUCGGUAAUACGUAGGGUGCAAGCGUUAUCCGGAUUUACUGGGCGUAAAGCGUUCGUAGGUGGAUCGAUAAGUGGCGGGUUAAAGCUCACGGCUUAACUGUGAAAAAGCUCGUCAUACUGUCUGUCUAGAGUUAGUUCGGGGAGGUUGGAAUUCUCGGUGGAGGGGUGAAAUCCGUUGAUAUCGAGAGGAACGUCAAGGGCGAAAGCAGACCUCUAGGGCUAAUCUGACACUGAGGGACGAAAGCUAGGGUAGCAAACGGGAUUAGAGACCCCGGUAGUCCUAGCCGUAAACGAUGGAUACUAGCUGGCCGAGUCGCAAAGAGCGAAAUUUCUAAUUUCUCUUUUUGCGAUUUGGCUGGCGUAAGCUAACGCGUUAAGUAUCCCGCCUGGGGAGUACGGCCGCAAGGUUAAAACUCAAAGGAAUUGACGGG
rnacentral:rRNA from 1 species